UGGGGAAUAUUGCACAAUGGGCGAAAGCCUGAUGCAGCAACGCCGCGUGAGUGAUGAAGGCCUUCGGGUUGUAAAGCUCUGUCUUUUGGGACGAUAAUGACGGUACCAAAGGAGGAAGCCACGGCUAACUACGUGCCAGCAGCCGCGGUAAUACGUAGGUGGCAAGCGUUGUCCGGAUUUACUGGGCGUAAAGGAUGCGUAGGCGGAUUUUUAAGUGAGAUGUGAAAACCCUAAGCUUAACUUGGGGACUGCAUUUCAUACUGGAAAUCUAGAGUGCGGGAGAGGAGAAUGGAAUUCCUAGUGUAGCGGUGAAAUGCGUAGAGAUUAGGAAGAACACCAGUGGCGAAGGCGAUUCUCUGGACCGUAACUGACGCUGAGGCAUGAAAGCGUGGGUAGCAAACAGGAUUAGAUACCCUGGUAGUCCACGCCGUAAACGAUGAGUACUAGGUGUAGGAGGUAUCGACCCCUUCUGUGCCGCAGUUAACACAAUAAGUACUCCGCCUGGGAAGUACGAUCGCAAGAUUAAAAACUCAAAUGAA
rnacentral:rRNA from 1 species